AGUGAACGCUGGCGGCAGGCCUAACACAUGCCAGUCGAACGGCAGCACCCUAAGCGCUUGCUCUUCCGGGUGGCGAGUGACGGGCGGGUAACGCGUACAUCGCCAUCUACUUUUUCGUGGGGGAUAACGUAGAGCAACUUACGCUACUACCUCAUUCUUCCUACCGCUUAAAUCAAGGGGUCUUCGGACCUUGCGCUAUUGAAGGAGGCGAUGUCGGAUUAGCUAGUUGGCGGGGUAAAGGCCCACCAAGGCGACGAUCCGUAGCUGGUCUGAGAGGGUGAUCGGCUACACUGGGACUGAGACACGGCCCAGACUCCUACGGGAGGCAGCAGUAGGGAAUAUUGGACAAUGGGCGCAAGCCUGAUAGAGCAAUGCCGCGUGGGUGAAGAAGGCCUUCGGGUCGUAAAGCCCUUUUGUUAGGAAAGAAAAGCAGCAGGUGAAUACGUUGGUGUUUUGACGGUACCUAAAGAGAAAGCACCGGCUAACUUCGUG
rnacentral:rRNA from 1 species